rnacentral:rRNA from 1 species
UACGUAGGGGGCAAGCGUUGUCCGGAUUUAUUGGGCGUAAAGCGCGUGUAGGCGGCCAUGUAGGUCCGUUGUGAAAACUCGAGGCUCAACCUCGAGACGCCGAUGGAAACCAUGUGGCUAGAGUCCGGAAGAGGAGAGUGGAAUUCCUGGUGUAGCGGUGAAAUGCGCAGAUAUCGGGAGGAACACCUAUGGCGAAGGCAGCUCGCUGGGACGUUACUGACGCUGAGACGCGAAAGCGUGGGGAGCAAACAGG